rnacentral:lncRNA from 1 species
CACCCCCGGCCGGGCCCCCCUCCAGAAAGCCCAGGAAACUUCUUAGCUAAGUACAAUGUUUCAACUCCCAGCACACCACACACCCUUUGCUGCAGGCCUCCCGGGGCAGAGGGAAGGGCAGCCCAGGCCCCGCCCCUUCACCCGGGCACAGAGGCCCUGGUCUCCGCCCUAUCCUUGGGCUGCGUUUCUGCUCUGACUUUCUCACAGUCACUAACACUUACAAAUUUAGGUGAAUCUGGCAGAGCAGGAAGGAGGGAAGCAACCACCCAAGAGACUGAUUUUCAAAGGGUGAAUCCCUGGGAGUUCCUGUCCUGGCUCAGCGCACUGCCUGCGUCUGGGCCUCUGCUAACGGACCCACCAACUCCAGUCAUCACUGAAGAUCUGACUUCAGCGUCUCCGCCUCCAGGAAGACUUCCUUCAGCUUCAGGGUGUCUCAAGUGUCCCCCUGGCCUUUCCCAUGCUGCUCCCUUGGGAAGCACUCGCCCAUGUGUGCCUCUGGCCCCAUCAGCUCGGGUCUUUCUGAGGGCAAGUCUGUGUCGUCUGUGUCCUUGACCCCUGGCAGGUCUGCCGCUGUGAAUGAAGCUCUCAGGUGUGGCGGGACAGCCAGGCUGGGGCAGGUGGGAGGGGGGACAAGUCGGGGUUUCUUCCCUUCAGACGUGGGCAGAGUGUCUCCCAUCUGCCAUAAGCAUUAGAGCUGCUCGUGUGAACCCACGUACCUGCAGAGUCGUAGUCACAGGUGACGAAGCUGGGGCUCAUCGGGACAAAGUGGCUCCAAUCACAACUGGCCACUAAGGUCUGCCUCCGGGGGCUGCUUUGUCUGAGACUCAGCUGCCCGGCCCAGGUAUGCUCUGCUCUGAGGCAGGGGACUGAACAAGCUGACCUCUCAUGGGCCUCCAGGUCAGGAUGGGAGCCUUCCAGUGACACAAGCUGAGGCUCCAACCAGGUCUCGGCCCCCUGACCUGCUCACCCACAAGGCAAGUGCCAGCCCUCCCACCAGCCCAACUGGCUCCCAGUUCAGCUGCAGAAACGGCCAAACGUCUCUCUGGAACCCAAACAGGAAGCUGGGGAGAAGGGGGCCAACGGCCGGGACCUCUGAGGCUCCUCCAGGAAACAUGUGGGGAGGGAGAUGGGUGGCCGGGGCAAGGUCAGGCCUGCUCACCCCAUAAC